CAGUCGAACGGAGCCUUAACCAAAGAAGCAGCCAGCUUGCUGGAAGCGGAAAAGGGAAAGGCUUAGUGGCGGACGGGUGAGUAACGCGUGGGUAACCUGGCCCAUACAGGGGGAUAACACUUAGAAAUAGGUGCUAAUACCGCAUAACAACAGAAAGCGCAUGCUUUUUGUUUGAAAACCAAGGUGGUAUGGGAUGGACCCGCGUCUGAUUAGCUGGUUGGCGGGGUAAAGGCCCACCAAGGCGACGAUCAGUAGCCGGCCUGAGAGGGUGGACGGCCACAUUGGGACUGAGACACGGCCCAAACUCCUACGGGAGGCAGCAGUGGGGAAUAUUGCACAAUGGGGGAAACCCUGAUGCAGCGACGCCGCGUGAGUGAAGAAGUAAUUCGUUAUGUAAAGCUCUAUCAGCAGGGAAGAAAAUGACGGUACCUGAGUAAGAAGCCCCGGCUAACUACGUGCCAGCAGCCGCGGUAAUACGUAGGGGGCAAGCGUUAUCCGGAAUUACUGGGUGUAAAGGGAGCGUAGACGGUUAAGUAAGUCUGGAGUGAAAGGCCGGGGCCCAACCCCGGGACUGCUCUGGAAACUAUUUAACUUGAGUGCAGGAGAGGUAAGCGGAAUUCCUAGUGUAGCGGUGAAAUGCGUAGAUAUUAGGAGGAACACCAGUGGCGAAGGCGGCUUACUGGACUGUAACUGACGUUGAGGCUCGAAAGCGUGGGGAGCAAACAGGAUUAGAUACCCUG
rnacentral:rRNA from 1 species